CACCCACUGACCUUUUUUCUGUUUCCGUGGUUCUGCACUUUCCAGAAUGUCACAUACUUGGAAUCAUACAGUAGUACCAUUGAGGACUUCCGAAUGGAGAGAUUUUCGGAGGGCGGCUGGGGCAGUGGGCCAUAGAAGGGACGGGAAAGGGAGAAGCUGGAGGCAAAGAGACUGAUUAGGAGCUUGCUGGACAGUGCAGAUGAGGAAACUGAGGCCCGGAGAGGCCCAGGAAGUUGCUCCCGCCCGCAACCACCCUGCAUCUUGGCCACAUGAAGGAGCCCUCCCCAGACGUUCACCCGGCCCUUCUGCGGGGGCCACCCCCCUGCCCCCUGUCCCCGU